CAAAGACUCCCAAGUUAACCUA
rnacentral:siRNA from 1 species